AAACAUGUAGAGUGUUUGGCAGAGUCAAACUGAACGCAUUCUUCUCACAUGUGACUGAGACAAAAUUAGAGUAAGACAACUGCACGAGAUAGAAUAUCGACUAACCAACAUGCUAUUAUUUUUUCGCUAGCGGAACGCGCCACCGCCAUUACCACCAAGAUUGUACGAGGAUUCAAAGGGAAAGUUACCAUCAAAAACUCCGCCAGCUAAGCCAGGAGAAAGAGAUAUCUAAGAUGAGUCAACCACAGACCUUUUUUGGAGUCGCGGAGAAUGGCGAGCCAACCACAGACUUUUCUCGGCGUGUCACGUUACGGGACGUCGAGGAAUGAAUGAUCCUAUUUACUGUAUUUAUCGAAAGAAUGCGAAAGAAUUGAAAAUGGCAGUCUCCAGAAGUAUUUUGAUUUUGUAUUGAAAUGGAAUUGUCGUAAAGGAAAAUUUGUAAUUUAAUUUAAGUUUAAUAUUAAUGCGUAUUUGUAAUAAAAAUAUAAUCAAAUUUUCUUUAAUAAUUGCCAUUUAAUUGGCUUUAAUGUUAUAACAAUUGCCAAUAAUAAUGUAACACUUGUAAUUUAAUAUUUAAAGAUAUGUAUUUUAAUUUAAAUCAUUUGGAAUUAAAA